rnacentral:misc_RNA from 1 species
AAGUCGUAACAAGGUUUCCGUAGGUGAACCUGCGGAAGGAUCAUUACACAAAUUGCUUUGUAGUAUACUCGCUAUACCACAAUUGCAAUCAUAACAACCAACCCGUGCUCCUUCUUUUUUUCCAACCCAACACUACACUAUUGUACCCUUUUUUUUAUGCUCGACUGAUUAAGUGAUGCUGUUAGGCGUACUCUGCAAAGGGUAUGCUCAGUGUCUCGUCUGCAGCGCAUACACAACUGUGCUGUAGUAAUUGAUAACCAUUAGGAACAACUCCUACCAAUGGAUAUCUUGGCUCUC